UUUACUCCUACGGAGGCAGCAGUGGGGAAUAUUGCACAAUGGGCGCAAGCCUGAUGCAGCGACGCCGCGUGAGGGAUGACGGCCUUCGGGUUGUAAACCUCUUUCAGUAGGGAAGAAGCGAAAGUGACGGUACCUGCAGAAGAAGCGCCGGCUAACUACGUGCCAGCAGCCGCGGUAAUACGUAGGGCGCAAGCGUUAUCCGGAAUUAUUGGGCGUAAAGAGCUCGUAGGCGGUUUGUCGCGUCUGCCGUGAAAGUCCGGGGCUCAACUCCGGAUCUGCGGUGGGUACGGGCAGACUAGAGUGAUGUAGGGGAGACUGGAAUUCCUGGUGUAGCGGUGAAAUGCGCAGAUAUCAGGAGGAACACCGAUGGCGAAGGCAGGUCUCUGGGCAUUAACUGACGCUGAGGAGCGAAAGCAUGGGGAGCGAACAGGAUUAGAUACCCUGGUAGUCCAUGCCGUAAACGUUGGGCACUAGGUGUGGGGGACAUUCCACGUUUUCCGCGCCGUAGCUAACGCAUUAAGUGCCCCGCCUGGGGAGUACGGCCGCAAGGCUAAAACUCAAAGGAAUUGACGGGGGCCCGCACAAGCGGCGGAGCAUGCGGAUUAAUUCGAUGCAACGCGAAGAACCUUACCAAGGCUUGACAUGAACCGGACCGCUGCAGAAAUGUUGUUUCCCCCUU
rnacentral:rRNA from 1 species